rnacentral:tRNA from 1 species
GGGCGCGUAGCUCAGCGGGAGAGCACCCGGCUUACAACCGGGCGGUCGCUGGUUCGAUCCCAGCCGCGCCCACCU